GUUAGAGUAACGAGUCAACUUGUAAUUGAUCAAUCUGAGUGGAAAAAAGGGAAUAAUUUCACCUGUGAAGUGUCUGACAGGUCUCUGAACACACGUAUCACAAAAACAAUCAGUCUCUGUUCAGAAACUCCAUCAUCAUCACAGCUAGUUGGGGUUUAUGUCCAGGGACCACUGCCACAGCUGACCGAGAACAAAGGACAUGUGACUAUUACCUGUCUUCUGGUCGGCCUUAAUCUUAAUGAUUUCUCCAUCACUUGGAGAGUAGGUGGCAGCAAAAUUCCUGAGGAUUAUGAUGUCCUAACUAAUCCCCCAGUGAGUCAUAACAAUAGAACAGAGACUCGGCAGAGCUUCCUUAAUGUGUCAGCAGUGGAUUGGGAUGCACAUACAAACAUUUCUUGUGAAGGAAAACAUCCAUGUUCCGAUCAGGGGAAUGAAGACCAUAUAAGCAAAAGCAAAGUCUUCCGUGAGCCAACAGUGAAGAUAAUACAACCAACUGCCUCUGACCUUUCUAAGUCUGACAUCCUAAUGCUUGUUUGCCUAGUGUCUGGAUUUUUCCCUGCUAACAUCAUAGUGCACUGGGAAGAAGAUGGCCAGACUCUCGCAUCCUCACAUUACGUUAACAGUCCUCCAUGGAAAUACUCAGGGAGCAGCUCUUACUCUAUGAGCAGCAGACUAAACAUAUCCAAAACUGAAGACAAAAGGUCAAUGUAUUCCUGUGUUGUCACACAUGAGUCAUCUAAAGCGCCUGUUGAAGACAAUAUAACUGAUGUGUUUGAUACGCUGAAAUAUUGUAAUUUAUUUGACAACAUUGUGCAUCCUGAUGUGAAUGAAGACACAGCUGAGGAAAGCUGGAAUGUGGCUUUCACCCUCAUUGGUUUUUUCAUCAUCGCCACCAUAUAUGGUAUCAUAGUUACAUUAUAUAAGACUAAAUCAUGAUGUUCACAGGACGGUUCAUGUAUUAUGACUGAAAUGUCUAAGUUCUGGGGGUUUGAACAGCACCUGUCCUGACUAGUUUGAACAUAUAAUGCUUUGUUUUUCCAUUAUUAUUGAUUGCAUUGUUUAUGCUUUACAAUUUUUGGCACUUGUGUUUUAGUUUUGUGCUAGAUGUGACAUGUAUGUAAGACAAGUGAGAAAAUGCAUUAAAAAUCAAUAAAGAAAACAAAUAACUAUC